rnacentral:lncRNA from 1 species
GCAAUUCAGGGUUGCGAUGGCCUUGCGCUACGCUGCCUUUUUCGUCUCGGCCGUCCUCCUACGCUGUCCUGAAAUCAUGCUGCACACUAUUGGAAAUUACUCGAUGAAGGUCUGAUGAGUGGAGCGCUAGCAGGCGAUGCCUUUUCUGCUGUGCCUGUGCAAGGAGGUUGGACACCCCUGACUACCCCAACACAGCGCGCAGCCAUAGCAUACUUUGACCCCCUCCGCGCACAUACCAGGGCAUGGAGGGUGGGGGCCCAACAGUGGGGCAUAAAAGACACCAUAAAGCGAAAACGUGCUCGCAAGAAGCACGCGGAAUACGUCUCGCCGUCACAAAACUCGCUUGACGUUCCUACCUACCUGCCUGUCCUUGCUUACCGUCCUGCCUUUUUCCUGCACCACCAUGCUGUCUAGCUAUCCCUUUCUGGCCAACUACAGGAACGAUCAUCUGCCAUGCUGCAGGGAUCGCAUUUCGGUCUGUUGUGAGGAAGGUGAAGGCAAGGUUGUAUUACCGCAACGUGUCAUUAUUGCAGCCAAGGGAUGUAGGGGGAGACUUGUCGAAGCCCCCUGAUCGCAAAUCUCUUUCAGUUUGUGCAUGAUCACAACAAGCAGCACAAACCGCUUGCUGAUCAAGUGUUCCGCCCACACACAUGCAAGCUCUGUUGUGCUUCUGUGUAACUGAAUACGCAACUUUUCAACUGUGAAACUGUAAGCUGGAGCUGCAGCUGCAGAACCAUUCCUAGGAAGCAGCUGC